rnacentral:lncRNA from 1 species
CCGUCUUUUCUUCUUUGUGGCAGCUAAAUUAGGAAUAGCACUGAGCUGCAAGGACUACAAAAAGCUAACAUUAGAUCUCUGAUAUGGAAAACUACCCAAUUUCACUAUAAAUGAACUUCUUACUUGGAGAGUUAAGAAAAUGAGACAUCAGGAGAUGCCAGAUAUCUUGUAAACAGUUUGGUCUCCACUGCUUAAUGCCUUACCAAAUUUGCAUCUCUCUAACUGGCCCAAUACCAAGCGGCAAGUGGUUUCCCCUCCUUCCGUCCUGCAGAAUAAAGAAAAUGGACUGGUAGUUCAGGGAAACAGCAGUACUCUGUAUGUUUCCUACAGAACAUAUUUCCAGAGAGUCCUCUUAGGUGACUAUGAAGACUUAGGUUUGGGUUUUUCUGGUUCUGCAAUUCAUAUUUCUUACUCUGAAAAUUUACAGAUACCUGCUAGUGCUAUUCCAGUGAGAUAAAAGCAUUUGGAAAUUUAAAGGUGCCCACCAGUGGAAACCUUUUCAGUAUCAUAUUACUUAUGUACUACUGCAGUUCAGUUCCCUGAAAGUGUUAACUCAAGUGCGCAUCUGCUAUAAAAAAGCCAAUAGAAUGUUAGGAGUAGUUAAAUAUGUUAUUAAAAAUAGAGGUACUAUUAUUAUAAUACCCUUACAAAAUUGAUAGUGCACCUGCAUUUGGAAUACUGUUUGCAGUUUUGGUCACAACAUCUCAAAAAGGAUAUAACUAGGUUGAAGAANGUUCAGAAGACAGUGACUGAGAAGAUCAAGGAACUGGAGGAAAGGCCGUAACAUCUGGAGAUUUUUAGGGCCUGUUCACACUGAGUGAGUGUCUGCACACUCACUAGCAAUGUGCAUCUGCAUUCCAUGGUCAGUGUGAAAAGGCCCUUAGUCUAGAAAGUAGAUGAGUAAAAGGAGAUAUGAUAGAAGUACAUAGAAUCAAAUAGAAUUAUGCAUGAUAUGGAUAAAGUGGAUAGGGAGAAUGUUUUCUCCCUUUCUCAGAAUACUAGAACCACNGGUUACCAUUGAAUUGGAAUCCUGGACAAGCCAGGACAGAUAAAAGGAAUUUCCCUUUACNCAAUGCAUAGCUAAACUUUGGAAUUGCUUACCUUGAGAUGUGCUGUUGUCUACCAGCUUAGAUGGUUUUAAAAAGGAAAUGGACCAAUUCAUUGAUGUAAGGGAUAUCAAUUGCUAUUAGCCGUGAUAGCAGCAGGAGUGGAGGUGGUAAGCCUCCUAAGGACAGCCACUGCCAGACUGCAAUCGGAGCAAACUGUGUGUUCAUGUCCUGCUGGUGGACUUCCCUAUGAAGCUGGCUGCACACUGUGAAAACAGACUGCUGGACUAGAUGAGCCAUGGAUCUGAUCCAGGGAGGCAUUUCUUAUGUUCUUAUGAUGUGGACCUUGUUAUAGAGACUGCAUUACAGGAACCUUGACCCUC